rnacentral:misc_RNA from 1 species
CUGCGGAAGUAAAAGUCGUAACAAGGUUUCCGUAGGUGAACCUGCGGAAGGAUCAUUAAAAAAUUGGACUCCAUUGGUGAGUUCAUUAAUAAUCCCUACCCUUUGUGAAUUUGUUUGUUUGAAUAAUUUUUUUUCCAAAAAAAAUUAUUGAAUGUCUUUCCUUGUUUUGGUGGAGCUUGUAAAGUGAAACCAGCAGGGGAAUGGCAAACAAUAAUUAUUUUUGAAAAAGACCUUUUUUUAAAAUUAAACUUUUUGUAUUCAUUUGUCUAAAAUUAAUUUUUAUAAUAUAAAAACAACUUUUGACAAUGGAUCUCUUGGUUCUCGCAACGAUGAAGAACGCAGCAAAAUGCGAUAAGUAGUGUGAAUUGCAGAAUACGUGAAUCAUCGAAUCUUCGAACGCAUAUUGCACUUUUUAGUUUACUAAAAAAGUGUGUCUGUUUGAGUAUCAGUAAAAUAUUCUCAUAAAAAAACAUUGUUUUUUUUUAUGGUUAUGAGUGUUUUACAACGGUAACAAGUUGUUUCACUUUAAAUUCUUUGUUAUCAAAAAAAUCAUUAAAAGCUAAUUUUAAAGAUUUUUUAAAAUUGGAUAAAAUUUUCCCGUAAAAAGGAAUAACCUAAACAAUUUUAAAAAAAUUAAAAUUGGUUUGAUUUUUUUUGAACCCAAAGGAAAAAAAACGAAAUUAACUUGAUCUCAAAUCAGAUAAGAGUACCCGCUGAACUUAAGCAUAAUCAAUAAGCGGAGGAAAAGAAACUAACUAGGAUUCCCUCAGUAACGGCGAGUGAAGCGGGAAGAGCUCAAAUUCGAAAUCUUCAAGGUUUUACCUUGACGAAUUGUAGUUUAAAGAAGUGUUUUCUGUUGGAGUUUUGGUAAAAGUCCUUUGGAAAAGGACAUCAUAGAGGGUGAGAAUCCCGUAUUUGACCAUUAUCUCCAGCUUUGUGAUACACUUUCAAAGAGUCGGAUUGUUUGGAAUGCAGUCCAAAUGGGUGGUAAAUUUCAUCUAAAGCUAAAAUACUGGCGAAGAGACCGAUAGCGAACAAGUACCGUGAGGGAAAGAUGAAAAGAACUUUGAAAAGAGAGUUAAACAGUACGUGAAAUUGUCAAAAGGAAGCGUUUGACACCAGUGUUGUUUUCUCGAAAAUCAAUUAAAAAAGGCCGGAUUUUGUGUUGUAUUGACUUUAUCAGCUUUCUGCACUCUUUUCUUGUCUUUUUUAAUGCACUUUUCGUUUAACAAGUCAACAUCAAUUUCUUUUGUUGUAAAAGGGUCAUUGGAAGGUGGCUUUCUUUUCGGAGAAAGUGUUUAUAGCCUUUGGCCUCUGCAAUCGGAGAGAUUGAGGUCUGCAGCGUAGAUCCUUCGGGGUUAGAUACAUUUGUGCUAAGUUAUAGCCUUCAUAGACAACUUGUUGACUAUGAUCAGUCAUGUAGCUUACUCGCUUAUGCUAUUUUACCUACGCUUAGGAUGUUGA